GACGAACGCUGGCGGCGUGCUUAACACAUGCAAGUCGAACGGAAAGGCCCUGCUUUUGUGGGGUGCUCGAGUGGCGAACGGGUGAGUAACACGUGAGUAACCUGCCCUUGACUUUGGGAUAACUUCAGGAAACUGGGGCUAAUACCGGAUAGGAGCUCCUGCUGCAUGGUGGGGGUUGGAAAGUUUCGGCGGUUGGGGAUGGACUCGCGGCUUAUCAGCUUGUUGGUGGGGUAGUGGCUUACCAAGGCUUUGACGGGUAGCCGGCCUGAGAGGGUGACCGGGCACAUUGGGACUGAGGGAGGGAGCAGACGGCAACCGGAGGCAGCAGGGGGGAGCAUGGCGCAGUGGCCGCGAGUCAGAGAUGGAAGUGCCGCGUGCGGGAAACCGGGUUUCGGGUGAUAAACAAAUGUCGAAUGUACCGAGGCGUGAGUGACGGUAAUGGAUCAGAAAGCAACGGCUAACUACGUG
rnacentral:rRNA from 1 species